CUGCAGACAGUUAAGCCAACUGAGUUCCUUUCCUCAGGGAGGCCCAGUGUACAAUGGCUGCCCACAGCAGCUUCCUUGGUAGCGUACUCAGCCUGUUUCUUGUAUGGGUUGCUCUAAGGGACCUUAGAGACAGGC
rnacentral:snoRNA from 10 species